GCACAGCUUAAUACGUAUCAGCUUGAUACUCGGUACUGUAGCGUUCGCUUUUGCUUUUCAUAAAAUUCUACAACUUCUGUUUUACCAGUAAAACUGAUUCAUCGUUAUAUAGCGGAGAAUAUCUUUGGCAUAACUUCUCCGACAUUUACGUAUGAAGAUGGUAGCAGAGGAUGGUCUUCGAUAGCUGUUCGAGGAAGACAAAAAGAACACGAUUGUCCCGACUAAUUAUUCUUCCAAACAACGAAGUUACUGGCGCGAAAGGGAGAAAAGGAGUUCAUCGAUCAUCAGAGGUGCAUGGUAUACGGGUUCGUUGGAGAAACUUGGCUGCAAUUUAUUCCACCGAGCAACGUGAUCACUGAGAACAAUUAAUUUAAUUGAAACCAUCGGUGCUCGCCGGAUGACACGAUUGAUUGCCUCGCCACGACGAUCACGGUGUAAUGAAUAACCGGACGGGCUAACUUAUUCGACGUUAUUUCCGGCCAGAUUUCAUUUCGCCGUAUGAAUAGAAUCAUCCUGAACGACCACGUGCAUUGUUUCCCGCGACAAUUAAUCCGGUGCAACAACCGACCUGGUCUUUCGGCCACGUCGAGAAAGCGAUAUUCUUGCACAAUGUUAUUUUUGUUUGAUAAAAGGGCUCGAUGUUUCGCCUGUUCCGAACAACGAGAAGCGUUGGCCAAUCGCGGCGAGCGUCGAUGACACAAAUGUUUUUCUGUCAACCUGGAAAUUCAUGGCGCUUAAUUUUUGCGUUAUAGACACGGAGCAACGAUUUUAUUUAACAGCGGAAUUUCGCUCGUUUGUAACUUUCAUUGUUAAUAAUGUUCAACAAUGAUAUUCUACGUUGUCUUUGUAAUAAAUAUAAAUGGAUGACAAA